rnacentral:rRNA from 1 species
GGAGUCUGGGCCGUAUCUCAGUCCCAAUGUGCCCGUCCAACCUCUCAGUCCGGGUACCCGUCGUCGCCUCGGUGGGCCUUUACCCCGCCGACCAGCUGAUGGGACGCGGGCCGUUCCCCUGCCGCGGCCGUAGCCGCUUUCUUCCCUGACUACCGCAGUCAGGGAACUCAUCCCGUAUCACCCGGCAUUUCUGCCGGCUGUCCCGGUGCAGGGGGUACGUCGCCCACGCGUUACUCACCAGUCCGCCGCUCUCAUGAGGGGCAAGCCCCUCAAUCCCGCCCGACUUGCAUGCUUAAGACGCGCCGCCG